CAAAGGGAUUACCGGUGGCGGAUGGGCAUGCGGCGCAUUAGCUAGUCGGCGGGGUAACGGCCCACCGAGGCGACGAUGCGUAGGGGUUCUGAGAGGAAGGUCCCCCACACUGGUACUGAGACACGGACCAGACUCCUACGGGAGGCAGCAGUGAGGAAUAUUGGUCAAUGGGCGCGAGCCUGAACCAGCCAAGUCGCGUGAGGGAUGACGGUCCUACGGAUUGUAAACCUCUUUUGCCGGGGAGCAAGCGUGCGUUCGUGAACGCGCGUCGAGAGUACCCGGAGAAAAAGCAUCGGCUAACUCCGUGCCAGCAGCCGCGGUAAUACGGAGGAUGCGAGCGUUAUCCGGAUUUAUUGGGUUUAAAGGGUGCGUAGGCGGGAUGCCAAGUCAGCGGUAAAAAUGCGGUGCUCAACGCCGUCGAGCCGUUGAAACUGGCGUUCUUGAGUGGGCGAGAAGUAUGCGGAAUGCGUGGUGUAGCGGUGAAAUGCAUAGAUAUCACGCAGAACUCCGAUUGCGAAGGCAGCAUACCGGCGCCCUACUGACGCUGAGGCACGAAAGCGUGGGUAUCGAACAGGAUUAGAUGCCCUGGUAGUCCACGCAGUAAACGAUGAAUGCUAACUGUCCGGCUCGAAUGAGCGCUGG
rnacentral:rRNA from 1 species